rnacentral:rRNA from 1 species
UACGGAGGGUGCAAGCGUUUAAUCGGAAUUACUGGGCGUAAAGCGCACGCAGGUGGCUGAGUCAGUCGAUUGUGAAAGCCCUGGGCUUAACCUGGGAAUUGCAGUCGAUACUACUCAGCUAGAGUAUGGGAGAGGGUAGUGGAAUUCCCGGUGUAGCGGUGAAAUGCGUAGAUAUCGGGAGGAACAUCAGUGGCGAAGGCGGCUACCUGGCCCAAUACUGACACUCAGGUGCGACAGCAUGGGGAGCAAACAGGG